rnacentral:misc_RNA from 1 species
GAAAUGCGAUAAGUAAUGUGAAUUGCAGAAUUCAGUGAAUCAUCGAAUCUUUGAACGCACAUUGCGCCCAUUAGUAUUCUAGUGGGCAUGCCUGUUCGAGCGUCAUUUCAACCCUUAAGCCCCCGUUGCUUAGCGUUGGGAACCUACAGCGAUGUAGUUCCUUAAAGUUAGUGGCGGAGUCGGUUCACACUCUAGGCGUAGUAAAUUCUAUCUCGUCUCUGUAGUUGGACCGUCCCCCGCCGUAAAACACCCCAAUUUAUAAAGGUUGACCUCGGAUCAGGUAGGAAUACCCGCUGAACUUAA